rnacentral:rRNA from 1 species
GAUGAACGCUAGCGGCAGGCUUAACACAUGCAAGUCGAGGGGCAGCGCGAUGUAGCAAUACAUUGGCGGCGACCGGCGCACGGGUGCGUAACACGUAUGGAACUUACCCUUUACUGGGAGAUAGCCCGGAGAAAUCCGGAUUAAUAUCCCAUAAUAAACGAAGUGGCAUCACUUUGUUUUGAAAGCUCCGGCGGUAAAGGAUGGCCAUGCGCACGAUUAGCUAGUAGGUGAGGUAACGGCUCACCUAGGCUACGAUCGUUAGGGGGCCUGAGAGGGUUAUCCCCCACACUGGUACUGAGACACGGACCAGACUCCUACGGGAGGCAGCAGUGAGGAAUAUUGCGCAAUGGAGGCAACUCUGACGCAGCCAUGCCGCGUGCAGGAAGAAGGCGCUACGCGUUGUAAACUGCUUUUUAACCGGGAAGAAACCCUCCGACGUGUCGGAGGUUGACGGUACCGGAGGAAUAAGCACCGGCUAACUUCGUGCCAGCAGCCGCGGUAAAGUCAG